AGUUGAGACUUAUGCAGAAUGAGCUCAAUGUGGAAGAAGUAGUAAAAGAUAGAAGUUUAAAGGUAUUUUAUGAAAGAUGUCGAUCCUUUUACAAACCACCCGAUUUCAAAUUAUGAGAAA